AGUGGAAUUGCUGGGUCAUAUGGUAACACUAUAUUUAACUUUUUAAGGAACUGCCACAUUGUUUUCCAAAGUGGCUGCACCAUUUAACAUUUCCACCAACAGU
rnacentral:pre_miRNA from 1 species